UACAGAGGUCUCAAGCGUUGUUCGGAUUCAUUGGGCGUAAAGGGUGCGUAGGCGGCGCGGUAAGUCGGGUGUGAAAGCCUGUGGCUCAACCACAGAAUUGCCUUCGAUACUGUAGAGCUUGAGACCGGAAGAGGUAAGUGGAACUGCGAGUGUAGAGGUGAAAUUCGUAGAUAUUCGCAAGAACACCAGUGGCGAAGGCGGCUUACUGGUCCGGUUCUGACGCUGAGGCGCGAAAGCGUGGGGAGCAAACAGG
rnacentral:rRNA from 1 species